CGAUACGUAGCCGACCUGAGAGCAGUGAUCGGCCACACUGGAACUGAGACACGGUCCAGACUCCUACGGGAGGCAGCAGUAGGGAAUCUUCCGCAAUGGGCGAAAGCCUGACGGAGCAACGCCGCGUGAGUGAUGAAGGUCUUCGGAUCGUAAAACUCUGUUAUUAGGGAAGAACGAAUGUGUAAGUAACUGUGCACGUCUUGACGGUACCUAAUCAGAAAGCCACGGCUAACUACGUGCCAGCAGCCGCGGUAAUACGUAGGUGGCAAGCGUUAUCCGGAAUUAUUGGGCGUAAAGCGCGCGUAGGCGGUUUCUUAAGUCUGAUGUGAAAGCCCCCGGCUCAACCGGGGAAGGUCAUUGGAAACUGUUUCGCUUGAGUGCAGAAGAGGAGAGUGGAAUUCCAUGUGUAGCGGUGAAAUGCGCAGAGAUAUGGAGGAACACCAGUGGCGAAGGCGGCUCUCUGGUCUGCAACUGACGCUGAUGUGCGAAAGCGUGGGGAUCAAACAGGAUUAGAUACCCUGGUAGUCCACGCCGUAAACGAUGAGUGCUAAGUGUUAGGGGGUUUCCGCCCCUUAGUGCUGCAGCAAACG
rnacentral:rRNA from 1 species